AACCUGCCCUAGAGACCGGGACAACCGUUGGAAACGACGGCUAAUACCGGAUGCCUUCACAUGGUCGCAUGGCCGAGUGAAGAAAUGCUCAGGCGCUCUAGGAGGGUCUCGCGGCCUAUCAGCUAGUUGGUGAGGUAACGGCUCACCAAGGCAUCGACGGGUAGCUGGUCUGAGAGGACGAUCAGCCACACUGGGACUGAGACACGGCCCAGACUCCUACGGGAGGCAGCAGUAGGGAAUCUUGCGCAAUGGGGGAAACCCUGACGCAGCAACGCCGCGUGUGGGAUGACGGCUUUCGGGUUGUAAACCACUUUCAGUGAUGACGAAAAUGACGGUAAUCACAGAAGAAGGUCCGGCCAACUACGUGCCAGCAGCCGCGGUAACACGUAGGGACCGAGCGU
rnacentral:rRNA from 1 species